GGCCACAUAGCUCAGUCGGUUAAAGCAUCGUGCUAAUAACAUGAGGGUCGACAGUUCGAGACUGUCUGUGGCCA